GUAGGUGAACCUGCGGAAGGAUCAUUAUACACGAUUUCCAAUCGUAUAAACCAAUCGCGCACUUGUUUUGUAUCCCAAAUUCAUCUGAGCUGCACAGCAGUCGAGUUGAGGUAGCGUGAGGGUUUCGGCUCUCUGCUCUUCUGCCCGCCUCGGUCUUGUUAACUCAAGCGUCGAGGGAGUUCUUAUGAAUUACGCUACUGCGUUCUUGAUUCGUCAAGGGCGCUUUUUAUUUACCAUUUCAACACUUUGUAUCCAUUUGUACUAAAAACUUUUUUUCUUUUAUUAAGAAACUAAAGAACAACUCUUAGCAACGGAUAUCUAGGCUCUC
rnacentral:misc_RNA from 1 species